GUCCUCGUAGCUCAGCUGGAUAGAGUGAUUGCCUCCGACGCAAUAGGUCAAGGGUUCGAAUCCCUUCGAGGACACCA
rnacentral:tRNA from 1 species